rnacentral:rRNA from 1 species
UACAGAGGUCUCAAGCGUUGUUCGGAAUCACUGGGCAUAAAGCGCACGUAGGCGGCGACGUAAGUUGGAUGUGAAAUCCCUCGGCCCAACCGAGGAACUGCGUCCAGUACUGCGUUGCUUGAGGAUCAAAGGGGUGCAUGGAAUUCCCGGUGGAGCGGUGAAAUGCGUUGAUAUCGGGAGGAACUCCGGCGGCGAAAGCGGUGCACUGGUUGAUUACUGACGCUGAGGUGCGAAAGCCAGGGGAGCAAACGGG